rnacentral:rRNA from 1 species
UUAACAACGGAUCUCUUGGUUCUGGCAUCGAUGAAGAACGCAGCGAAAUGCGAUAAGUAGUGUGAAUUGCAGAAUUCAGUGAAUCAUCGAAUCUUUGAACGCACAUUGCGCCCCUUGGUAUUCCAUGGGGCAUGCCUGUUCGAGCGUCAUUUGUACC